GUAAUCUUCAUGCAGAUCUGAAUGAAUAGUGUCUCCAAGACGAUGAAGUCUGUAAUUAUUAAAGAAUGUAGAAAUGUGGAGAGAAAUAGGACACUUUCUGGAUGAUGGGCACAAUAUGGUAUAAUCAUUGGAAAAGGCUGUUCUGACUGUAAUUAUAAAAUCCUGGCUUGUUAACUCCUUCAUUUCAGUGCCGAUUAUCGUGGUAAGCAAAUGUGAUUCAUCGUAAUAUGAAUGAUAUUAAUCUCUCAAUGCAGUGUUAUAUUAUGCACAUUUUUCAGUGUUAGACU